rnacentral:rRNA from 1 species
CAGCAGUAGGGAAUAUUGGACAAUGGGGGCAACCCUGAUCCAGCGACGCCGCGUGUGUGAAGAAGGCCUGCGGGUUGUAAAGCACUUUUAGUGGGGAUGAAAAGCUCAGGGCUAAUAACUCUGGGUCUUGACCUAACCCAAAGAAAAAGCACCGGCUAACUCUGUGCCAGCAGCCGCGGUAAUACAGAGGGUGCGAGCGUUAAUCGGAAUUACUGGGCGUAAAGCGUGCGUAGACGGUUACGUAAGUCGGAUGUGAAAUCCCCGGGCUUAACCUGGGAAUUGCAUUCGAAACUGCAUAGCUUGGGUGCGGAAGAGGGAAGCGGAAUUUCCGGUGUAGCGGUGAAAUGCGUAGAUAUCGGAAGGAACAUCAGUGGCGAAGGCGGCUUCCUGGUCCAGCACCGACGUUCAGGCACGAAAGCGUGGGGAGCAAACAGGAUUAGA